ACUCUCUUCCUCUCCCUCUCAUUCGUUGCCGUCGCCGCCGCAUCUCCCUCUCCUUCAUCGUUGAUCUACACGAGCCCACUCGCCACAAACCCACGCCGACUCAUCUCCGAGCCCACUUGCCACAAACCUACGCCGACCCAUCUCCCUAGCCCUUCCACCGAUCCAGCUCGCCGAUCUUCCUCCACUCCUCACCGGCCCAACUCCCAGAGAGAGAUAUUUAAGCGCAGCCGCUCCUUUUAGGGUUUAGCUUAGUUUUUCCUCUCGGACCAAAAAGUAGCCAUGGUCGAAGUGGUGGCCCCUCCUCCUCUAACAGAACCGACAGAAACCGUUGUUCUGGAACCCCUACAGCCUCACAACGUUGUCAAGCUCUUCUUGAGGAGUUUUGGUUUGGAGCUAAGUCUUAAUUCUUUCAUAUAUAUAUAUUAUUUUUUUUUCAAUUGCUAGGAUUCUGAAGCUCCAAUGACAGAGCAUGUUUCGAGGGUAUUGCCGAAGAAUGAGGGUUGGUUAAUAGGAACAAAAGAAUGCUGGGGCAGCUUUUGGGGACAUUAGAGGCUAAGUAGAGCACGUGAAGAAAGCAAGAAGUUGAGGCAACAAGAGCGUGAGCAAAAUGCCGAAAAAAAGAGUAGAGAUCUGGUUUGUUGUUUAUUAUAACUUUGUAUUUACACCUAUUGAAGUUUUGUACGUGCAAGUUAGAUUUGAGCUUAUAUAGGGAAGUAAAAUAAGUUAUCUAACAGUACAUCUACAUAAGAAAACUUGACAAGGUGCUAGCUUUCACAUGACACUUGAACAAGAAAGAGAAAGUGAUGGUAGGACAUGAAAAAGACGCACAUUUAAACAACAAGAAGAAAGUAAUGUUGAAAGAAACACAUGAUGUACAUGGAAAAUCCUAGAGAAGGGAUGAAAAACCAUGGUUUGAGCAAGAAUGUAAUGUUCUUGCUCUGCUUAGAUCGUAUUAUGUGUGAAAAGUGGUUGAUUUCUUACAACAAGAUUGUUCCUCUCUCCUACCAACUCUCUAAUCUCUUUUCUCAAAUCUCUCAUUUUUGUUCUAGGGUUCUUGCCCUAAUACAGCUGCAUGUUCCUCUUAUAAUCUGAGGAAUAUGACUGAGUACAAGGACAGGUGUCAAGUCAUAAUUUCCCUACUUUAGGACCUUUGCACAGCUGUGAUAUUAUUUGUUGACUAGAGGAUAGGAAUUGUGCCAAUGUUGCAUUGGGACCCAUGGGUAGGUGGCCUUGCCAUUGCUUGGGAAACAAGUCUUGGAUAUUGAGAAGGUCAUCAGGAGUACUAUGACUGAUACACGUGUCUCUGAUGUGGUCCAACUUUUGAUCUUAGAAAGUCACCAUCUCCCUUUUUGUGAGUGCUUGAGUACUAUGUCAGGUGUAAAUCUUACUUCCUUCCCAUGGCAAUCACGCCUUUAGUACAGACCAAGACAAAAUCCCUUAGCCAACGCUUCCUCUUCCUUUGCUCACAACCAUUCCAUGUGUAAGGUCUAGAUUCAACCACUUAUGCAUUCUCCCAUGCCAUAGUAGUGUUAUGUACAAGCUUCAAAGGUGAUCUUUUAUUAUGAUCCUUACUCAAUAUCUAAUUCUUGUCCUUUUGUUUUAUUCAAACUCUCAAAGCACGUGUAGUUGCGAAGAUAGAACAAAAAAGUUGGAAUUGUUAUUUCUUCAGUGGAGUGACCACCAUAAAAAACUUUGCAAUUUUAUAAGGUAGAUUUUCUUCAGAUAUUAAUUUUUCAUGGUCAUUUUUUAUUGCAAAAUUGUUUUGGCAUGUGGCCAUCCUUGACAAUUGAGAGCCCUAGUACGCUGUUUCUAAUGAAAUCUUUUUGUACUCUAUUUCUAUUGCAAGUUAUGUUUAAUUUUGGUCCAAGUGUCCAUAGAACUUUAUUGAGACAAAGAUAAGUUUCUCUUCAUGUGGAUUGUAGUGAUGAAGCAUUUUGAUCAGUGGAUGGUUCCUACUUCAUUGAAGGGCUUUAGGACCAAGGCAGUACCUCCAAUAUAUUAUUUACCUAAAAAACCUCUAGAAGAAGGCAAAACUAUGGUCCAGCAGCGAAAAGAACAGGUGAGUCCUCUAUUGCACUUCUCUAAUAAUAUGGAGUUUUACUAGAGGAAUCUUAAGAAAUUGGCCAAUCUUUUGAAUUAAAGUUGAUUAUCUUUUCCUGAUAUUUAUAGGAAACUAAAUUUUUUGAAAAGGGAGUAGAUGGUUUACACUUGGCAUCUCAACUGUAGUUUAAACUUGCACCAAUGCGCUAUCAAUGUAAAUUAGACUUAGCUUUUGCAGGAUAAGAAACAUCAUCUUCUUUUUCUCUUAGCAGCUUUUGUAGUUGCAGCUGAUGAAGGUGACUCUCUUUCUUUCUUUUCUCUAUUGCAUGCGUUCUUUAUACUUGUUUUGUGAAUUUUUUUUCUCUGUUCAUAGUAUUUGGUUUUGAUAUAAAUUUUACUCAAUAUUCUAAUAUCUCAGUUGUUUCUUAGAGUUUAUAGUGCAUUGACAUGGUAUGCAUGUGUUCUCCACUUCUCCUUGAGGUCAUAGAGUCACAAAUUUAGUGAUCAAUGUUUAAUGCGAAUGCACCAAAAAAUAAAUGGAAAAAAAUGGUCUCGGUGGGGCAAGAUAAAUUUAUUUUAAAGUGUCUUCCUUUGCAUUUGAGAUGGUUUUGACAUAUUUGAAUGUGAGUAUUAUGCUUGUUGCAUGCCAAGUGUUUGGUAAAUUACCUCUAUGAGGUAUACAAUUAGAUUACUUGACUUUCGGUUGUGAUAAUUGUUAUAUAAGGUUAUGAUUUGCAUUCCUAUUGUGUUAUUUAGCAACGUUGUCGUUAAACGAACUUGAUGAAGUGGGUGAUCAUUCUCCUACUGCGCAAAAUCAAUCAUCUAGCUUGUGGUUUUUAUUUAUUUAUUUUUAUAGUUUGCAAUUGUGAUAUAACAUUUUAGACAUUUGGAAUGUCUUGUAUUAGGCAUA